GGGGCGAUGGCGAUGGGGCAAGUCGCGCUGGCCAAGAAAGCCAGUGCUUAACAAUAUACAAGCUAUCGGAGGUUCGAAUCCUUCUCGCUCCG
rnacentral:tRNA from 1 species